AAAACAAUGGCCGCCUCCUCUUUCUGUAUCUCCUGGGACAAAGCAACAUAAAAUAAGAACAUUCCAAGCUUGGAAUGCACGGCAUGGAAGUUUCGGAGCUGAGGAGAGAAUAAAUGGAGGAAAUGAACAGCAUUACUGGUGCACAGUUGGGUGCCAGACUGAUCCCCUGGUCAUAAACGGAUGCCGGGAUCUACCAGAAGGAGCAAAGCUUGUCAGGAAAGACCUCAGUAUAAAAUUGUGUAAAACAACACAAGUACCCUUGUGACAUCCCCGUUGUUGUCAGUCUCCAUUGACUCCUAUGAAAAGGACACUGCAUCAUAAGGCUUCGGAUAGUGACUCGGGUUUUGCCCCGAUGACACAGAUGGCUUCAUCAACAACAACAGUAUCUUUGAUGUGGGGCCAGGAGCUGAUCUAUUCUGCUAUGCCCGGGGCAAAGACCUCACUUCUUGCCUGCUCACCAACAGUCGUCGAUGGGGAGAACAGAAUUAGAUGCAGAAAGACCUGGCACUCAACACAUCCACUCAACACAUCCACAAUGAGAAUUUUGGAUGGAGCCAGCACGUGGAGACUUGCAAGAUGAUGCGAUGAAGUCCAGACUGACAGACAGGCAUGAUACUGAUGUCUCUGAAUGUCACUAGUCAUAACAUUUUUACUAGCUACAACUUUUACUUGUAUUUGCUUUUUUAUUAUUGAAUUGAAUGGUAUCAGUCAAUUCGGGGAGGCAUUGACUGAUACCAUUCUGUGUGUUCUGCAGCAGUGUCAGGUACUCCUGUUUUAUACAGGACACCACACAGGAAGGUAUGACAUGUUUGUCAAAAUGCAGAUAGGCACAGUAUCUGUAUCAGCUGUGAAUGACAAUGAAAUAAAGAUGAAAGGUGCAUAUUGUUAUAUUGGCAGAACACUGCUUCUAAGGUAUUAUGUAAAGCACGUGGCAAACUCGUUCCACGGAGGGCCUAGUGUCUGCAGGUUUUUGCUCCUCCCUUGUGCUUGAUUGAUGAA